rnacentral:tRNA from 1 species
GCCUGGGUGGCUCAGUCGGUUAAGCGUCUGACUUCAGCUCAGGUCAUGAUAUCGCGGUUUGUGGGUUCGAGCCCCGCGUUGGGCU